CCUACAAUUUUUGCGGGGAUACAGUAGGGAGGCAGCAGUGGGGAAUCUUGCGCAAUGGGCGAAAGCCUGACGCAGCCAUGCCGCGUGAAUGAUGAAGGUCUUAGGAUUGUAAAAUUCUUUCACCGGGGACGAUAAUGACGGUACCCGGAGAAGAAGCCCCGGCUAACUUCGUGCCAGCAGCCGCGGUAAUACGAAGGGGGCUAGCGUUGCUCGGAAUUACUGGGCGUAAAGGGAGCGUAGGCGGACAUUUAAGUCAGGGGUGAAAUCCCGGGGCUCAACCUCGGAAUUGCCUUUGAUACUGGGUGUCUUGAGUAUGAGAGAGGUGUGUGGAACUCACGAGUGUAGAGGUGAAAUUCGUAGAUAUUCGGAAGAACACCAGUGGCGAAGGCGACACACUGGCUCAUUACUGACGCUGAGGCUCGAAAGCGUGGGGAGCAAACAGGAUUAGAUACCCUGGUAGUCCACGCCGUAAACGAUGAUUGCUAGUUGUCGGGAUGCAUGCAUUUCGGUGACGCAGCUAACGCAUUAAGCAAUCCGCCUGGGGAGUACGGUCGCAAGAUUAAAACUCAAAGGAAUUGACGGAAUCGCGGUGCCGAAAUGGCGUUG
rnacentral:rRNA from 1 species